ensembl:snRNA U6 U6 spliceosomal RNA
GUGCUCACUUCGGCAGCACAUAUAUUAAAAUUGGAAUGAUACAGAGAAGAUUAGUAUGGCCCCUGCACAAGGAUGACACACAAAUUCAUGAAGCGUUCCAUUUUCUU